rnacentral:other from 1 species
GAAUCCCUGCUAGGUACGUAUAUGCCUGGUAUGUUUUUACCAACACCUAAUAUAUGGGAACUCGCACUCUGUCGUAGGAUUUGAUGCCAACUAUGUUUAGCUGGAACUGUGAGCACACAGGAGAGUACCCACCUGCACAUGCAGGUUCAAACGCUAGGCAUUACGGCUGUGUGGGGGAUUA